UUCGUCUCUCUCUCUUUUUCUCUAUAGCGUAGCCUAUUUUGUGCAGUCGCUGCGGAACUUCUCUCGGUAAUGCUUGUGAGCGCGAGAUAGAAUCCGUCUAUCGAUACGAGAAUGGAUAUUCGUUCGUGCCUCCGGCCGUAUUUUAUCUCAAGAGAAAGAGAGGGGGAAGAAAGAGAGAGAGAGAGAAAGCAUACAAGAGAUCCGAUACAAUGACAACGGACGAGGACAGAAGCAAGGACGAACUUUCAGUCAUCUUUUUAUCUUUUUUCCUUUUAUCAUUCUUUUUCUUUUGUUUCUCUUUUCAUCUUAAACCUGAAUCUCUUAUAAAUAUCAUAAGAAACUCACAGAGUUAAAUUCGAAUUUGUUCUUUUGUUUCCUCCAUCGAGCGAGUAUCGAGACACAUUUUAUAUAGUAUAAUUAACAAAGUUUUUUUACUUUCCAAUCAAUAUCACUUUGUUGUUUGUCAUUGUUAUUACGAUCAUUAAAAGUAGUUUCUUCUUAAUGGAAUUUUAUUGUAGAUUAUCUACAGAAAUUUUUACAAGAAAUGGUUCUUCCCGUUGACAUGAUUAGAUAUAUAUCUAUAGACUAUAAAUCUCAAUAUUAUAUCGUUUAACAAACGUUAAAUAAACAUAAACGUUAAUAAAUAUUUUGUUCAUAUCAUAAACGUUAAUACAUCUUUUGUUCAUGGAUCAAUCGGUCAUUAACCAUAACGUUGAAUUACAUCACUCGAUAUUCUCGUCUCGUGUUACUACGAUUCUUUUGUGAUUAUCAAUAUCUUCCAAAUUUAUUUAUCAGUUAAAACAAAUUCACUCUGGAAAAUUCAUUAAAUUAAUCAGUGAACGAAAGUUUACGAAAAAAAUCUUUCAGGCAGGUUUUUCGAAACAAAAUUACGCAAUCGAUAUACAGGAAUACACGUGUUUGAAAGAACGAAUGCGCAACGACUGUGGUUGGUAUAUACAUACAUACAUGCAUACAUGUGUGUGUGUGUGCGUGUGGUGUGUAUUCUGGCACAUCAAUCGUGUUUUAUAAAUUUUAAACAGCUUGUCUACAACUGCUUAUAUCUUCCUCCUUCUUUCUUUUUUUGUCUUUCUUAAAAUGAACAAAGGAAAAUACACUGAAAAUAUAAUAUGUACUUCUUUAAAACAAUGGAAUUAUAUUUAUAUUCGUCCCUAAUCAUUAUUAGAAUUUUCUAUAAAAUUUAUUCAUUGAUUCAUUUUAAUUUAUAGAUACGAAAUCACUGUUCUCAAUGGAUCAUCUUUAAUAUAUAAAUAUUCAGAAAGAAGUUAGUUACUUUUUGAUUAAUUUCAAUCGUUGCAUAGAAUAAUCGCACAGAAUUUAUUCACUAUCUUACCUUUUUAAUUUAUACUUGUGAAAUCAUCAUUCUUAAUCAAUUAUUUUUAAACCGUAAACAUCAAUAUAAAAGAAUUUAGAUUAAAUGAGAAAAAACAAUGUUCUAGUACAAUGACAGCAUAAACAACGCUUCGGUAGAUCGAAAUGAACUCUAUUGGAAUGUGAUCAUGAAGUAGGCUAAUUCUAAAUUUCAUAUAGAGGAAUUAUACAAAAUUUAUUGAUUGUUUUAUCAUUUGAAUUUGUAGUUAUGAAAUUAUCAUUUUUAAUCGAUUAUUUUUAAAACAGAAAAUUGACAAAAAAGAAGUUGAUCCAAUCAAAAAAAUAAUAUUACAACCUUAACGACUCGCUUCGAUAAAUUGAAGGCGAUCAUAAAGUAGGUUGAUACUGAUGAUUAUAUCAAAUUAUGGCAAAUUAUAGUUAAGCAAUUCAUUCGGUGCAUCGAUCCGAAAAAAACCUCCCUCAGGUUUAAACCGGUUAAUUAUGCAUCGGUGUAAUAUAACUGUAAUGCCGAUUCGUCUAUACUUAUUUGUAUCACGUGAUGUAUGUAUAUAUAUAUAUAUAUAUAUAUAUAUAUAUAUAUAUAUGUAUGUACCUAUGUAUAUAUUUGUUGAAGAUAUAUAUGCACUCAUCGUGCUUGCGAGUUUCCCAUUAAAUUCGUUCAAGUUCAUAUGCAUAGAUUUAUUGAAUUAUAGGAAUAUUUGAACUUUUCAAACAAAAUAACAUUUUAUAAAUUGGAUAAUACACUCUUAGAUUUUUCACAUAAGAUACAAAAUGUACGUAUUCUAUUUUUUAUAUAGCACAUUACUUUCUCUAUUCGUAAAAAAAGUGUUUAAUUUUUUAAAAAUAUUUUUAUAACGUACUGUGUUUUGAAAAUGUCAUAGAAAUAUAAUAUAAAUCUUUUAAGAUUAGUAUAUUUUAUUAUCAAAAUUAUUACAAAUAUUUCUAUAUAAGUUACAUGUUCAAAAACUAUAAAAAAUCUGCGUAACACGUGAUCUCUAUUUUUAUCUAAUAAGAAUCACGAUCAAUAAAAUAUAAAAAUCCAUCUAUUGCUCUCUCUCUCUCUCUCUCUCUCUCUCUCUCUUUCUCUCUCUCUCUCUCUCUCUCUCUCUCUACUUAUCUCUCUUUCUCCCUUUUUUCCACACGUUUUCCUUCUUGAAACGGACGUAGUCAUAAAUUGUACAUAGUUAAUCUCUCAACGUAAGUGUAUGUAACUAUCGAUUUAAAGGGAAAAUAAUUGACUAAGGUAAUAAUUUAUUCGUUGCAUCGAAGAUCUAAUGAACCAAGCGAUCUAUUAUCCGUAUUGCGGGGGACUCGUCGUCAACGACGAUGAACGACAAUAUAUGUAUAAAAGAUGUCUAUUGCGCAAAAGAUUUUUCCACGAAGAGUCGUACAUUCUAAUAAGAUUUAUUUCCAUCUAUGAACGAACAAACGAACGAAAGAAAGAUGGCAAGACUCUUGUUAGCCAUUUUCAUGUAAAUCACAUUGGUACGUCGUUCGUUUUGUUCAUUCGCGGAAUAUUUUACGAAACUCGUUCGACGUCGUCGUUGUCGUCGUCGUCCUCAUCGUCGUUAUCGUUGUCGUGUUGAAUGAACCACAUCGUUUUCUCUCUCCAGUUCAUGCGAGUUUCAUGCUUGUCGAGGAUUUGAAUCUAUCGUGUGAGAAGGAAGGUGAAAAAAGCAGGGAACAAAUAAAACAAAGAAGAAAGAGAGAAAAAGAAACACAAGAUAGUUCGAAAUGAAAUAGGAAAAAAUUUCUCGAGAUAAUCGUAUCAAUAUUCUAAAACUACCGAUAAUUAUUUUAGAAUAUUAAAUAAAAACUCAGAAAAAUAAGGAAGAGGAGAUAAAAAAACAUUUAUUCGAUUAAUCGUAUGCAUAUAAUAAAAAAAUUGAAAUGCUUUGAAAGAACAUGCGAUGAGAGUGAAAACAGACAUUUUUAUAAAAAUUGAAACCAAUCAUUUUUGAUCGAUAUAUUUACUAUUAAAUCGACUUAAUAAAAUUUCAACUUUUAUUUUCAUAUAUUAACUACUUCGCUUGUUUAAUUUUGUUAAAAACAUCUGUAUAAUAUAUAAAUAUAAAUUUAUCGUCAUUUUCUUACUUUAAAAUUAUUAUUAUCAUCUUUGUUCAACCUAACGAACAUAAAAAUAUGCAGAAGUCAAAGAACACGGAGAAAAGCAGAGCUCUUCUUGGAUCACUCGAGUUGAGUGAAAGAAAAAAGAGAAAAAGAAGAAGAAUUCAAAGAGGACAUGGAAGGAGAGCUACCUAAAGUAGAAAACGAUGUUAUCAGGAUGAUGAAAGAGAGUCGGGCCGGUAGCGGAGUUUAAGAAUAAUUGAAAGUUAUGAUUGCCGUUCUCUUCGCUAGCAAGAAGUGCAUCCGAUGUGCUGUCAACGGGAUCCCGUGGGACGCGAUGAGAUUUUGCGUGACCAAACGAAUAACGACGACAACGACGACGACGACGACGAUGACGACGGCGACGACGACGACGACGGCGACGGCGACGACGACGACGGCGACAACGACAACGACAACUACGACGAUGAUGAAGAUCUUUGCUUAGGAGCUUCCGCCUACGAGCAAUCUCGAGGUACUAAUUCUCUACUCUAAUGGGAGCCGAUUUCAGUCUAUUCCUCUGGGAGUUGUCUCUUCUCUUACUGUAAUUGCAGUCAGCUACGAGUCUCUCUACCCUUCUAUAUCUCAAUUUAUCGAACAGAAACGUAAGAAGAUGAAUGCUGUAUCGAAUUGAGAAAGAUAUUUUUCUAAUUUCAUUCUCGAAUUUGAUUCUCGGAUUUGAUUUUCAAAUUUUUUAUUUCAUUUUUAUUAUAGAACUUAAUCGUUCUGAUCUGUCAUGCAUCACAUAUUAGUUUCUUCUUCCAUAUUGUUUUAAUCUAGUAAUUGUCACUAGAAUUUAAUAAGCAAGCGAUCAAAAUCGAUCUAUGAAGAAAUUAAUAAUAUUUUUUCUUUUUCUUCUUCUCUUAGACAUCAAUAGGAAAAAAAGUGCAGUGAUUCUUUGGAGAAAAUAUAGUUAAGUAGGAAGUACAUAGUAUUGCAUAAUUAAAUAUAAUUAUAUUUCUGCUUUUCAUUUGAUAUAUAUUUUCGUUAUUAUAUCUUUUUUCAUUGUAUAUUCUUAUUAUAUCUUUUUUUAUUAUAUAAUACAUAUAUAUAUAAAUUUUUUUCGUUUAGUAUAUAUAUAUAUAACUGAAAUUAUAACGAAUUUCGAAAGUAACAAAUUUUACUUGAAUUUAUUCAACAAGUAAAACUAUUGAUAAUAUUAUUCUAGUAUAUUAAGAUAUAACUCAUAUAUACAUUCAUUUAUAAAUAUUCUGUAUGUUAGAAAAAAAGAAAGAGCGAGAAAAAGUAAAUCAUAUAAUUAAUCAUAUGUAUAUAAUAAAAAAAGUCAUAAUGCAAUGAAAAAACAUAUGAUGAAAUUUUUAGUAAACAUUUUUAUAAAAAUGGCUCGGGCCGAUUAUUUUGAUUUUGAUUUAAUAUUAAAUAAUUAAAUAUAGUUCCUGGUAUUUCUGGUAUAUUUUAAAAUUUUGCAUUUUUUUGUGUGAUUAGAUCGAUAAUUAAAUGUAUUUGCUGAGAGUUUUUGAGAAAUGUUUGUGAAACAAAAAUUUGAAAGAGGAAGAGAAAAAGGCGUGGUCAUUGAAAAGAGGGAAUAGGUUUCUGGGUUUGUUUAAUUUACACAAGAACUUUUAAUAAUAUAACAAUAAUAAUAAUAAUAUAUUACUAAUAAUAACAAUACUAUAUCACAACAAGAAGUUUAAUAAAACAUCUCAAAACAUUGGGUACAUAUACACAUAUAUACAUAGGAAGCAGUAAUAUUAAAAAUAGCUACUAUAAUUAGAAAAAUGUUAUAAUAAUAGUGAAAUGACAUAUGGUUAAAUCAUGAUCCGUCAGAUGGUUGCAUACUCAUGAAGCGUGAGGUAAAAACACGAUGAAAGCAAUAAUAAUAAAUAUAAUAAUAAUGAUGAUGAUGAUGAUGAUGAUGAUAACAACAAUAUUAUUAUUACUAUUAUUAUUAUUAAUAGUUAAUAAUAAUAAUAAUAAUAAUAAUAAUAAUAAUAAUAAUAAUAAUAAUAAUAAUAAUAAUAAUAAUAAUAAUAAUAAUAAUGAUAAUGAUAAUGAUAAUGAUAAUAAUAGUAGUGGUAGCAAUAGUAGUAGUAGUAGUAGUAGUAGUAGUAGUAGUAGUAGUAGUAGUAGUAGUAGUAGUAGUAGUAGUAGUAGUAGUAGUAGUAGUAGUAGUAAUAAUAAUGAAAAUAAUAAUAAUAAUGAUGAUAAUAAUGUAUGAGAGAAAUGAAAUGGAAUAUGGACUCAUGUUAUCUAAUAUUCAUUAUAAUUUUAAUUGAAUAUAAAAUUUAUCUAAUUUCAUCUUUCUCUCUUUCUUGUUAAAAGAUAAUAUUAAUAAAAAGAAAGAAAAGAGAAUUGUCCUUUAGUUCAUUGUAUUCUUCUUCUUUUACUUCAUAAUGGUAUUCGAACAAUCGACGAAAUGGCAAAGAUCAACAAAGAGAUCUUUUAGAAAAGGAUUAUUCUCCUUCAAGUAACAGAUUCCAGCGGUUUUGUUCGACCUACGUUGCGGUGGUAGUGAUAGUAGUAGUACGGUGUGUGUGGUAAUGGUAGUGGGGACGAGGAAAAGACGCAUCGCCAUCUGUUUCUCGGCGUCACCGUAGAUUAUUCUUUGACUUGGAGUUGUUGGAUUAAUCAAAGCACGCAUAUCGCGGUUUUCUCGCAUAACGGAGAAGAAAGUUCGUUGACUUUACACAAUAAUUUCAGUCAAUAGAUACGAAAAGAGAUACGAAGAAGCCAAAAAGAAUUUGGAAUUCUUUCAUUUAUUUACAACAGAACAACAAGCGAUCGAAUGAUCGAUAUUUUUUGUCUUUUUUUUCUUCUCUGACAAUUCUCUCUCUCUCUCUCUCUUUCUUUUCCUCUCCCCCACUCUUUUCAUGACAUGCGUCACAUCUCAUUCCGUCAGUCAUUUUUGACCGCUCUCGACAGCUCGCAUUCGUUUUCUUCUCAACGACCGAUGACGUCUCUCUCGAAAGCAUUGUCACGAGAAUUUCGUGGAUCACUUCGUCAUGAUGUUUCUUCAAUCUCCAUCUUCAGCUCUUACUAAUUUUCUAUCUCUACCAUUCACCAGAAUAGUCUGGGUGCUUUCGUGACACUCGUAGGAAAAUCUGAUUACCGGAAACUUCUCGUCAUGGGUCGAAAACUUCGAAGGAAAAUUUACCGAGCCUUCCUUCCUUCACCGACUAGAGAAAAUUAGUUUAGACCAGACGGAUUAGCCCUUUGCACUGGAAGUACUCCUCUCAGACACAGAUAAUAUUUGACGUUGUACUCGAAGCGUGUCUUCUCAGGCAUAUUGCUAAUAUACUGCAAUAAAGAAUCGAUAUAUAUUGUGAUUUAUAAUUAAAAUAUUCUAUUCUGUAAUUGACAAGAAAAUUCUUGAAGAAGACAGCAUUUGCGUAAAUAGCCAAAAACAGUUCAAGUGUUGUAAUAUUUAGCUAAAAUAAAGUUCGAAUGCAAAGAUCUUAAAUCGUUUCUUCAAAAAUUUUGUUCUUUUCAAAGAUAAGAUUUUAUUGUCUCGUUUCUUGAAAAAAAAUUAAAAAAAAGUUAUAUCAUCUUUCGAUAACAUCUUUUCUUUCAAAGAGAAUGUAAGAAAUCGUUCGAUAUUUUUCAAACCGUUCUCUCCCUUUCUCUUUCUCUCGUUGUCACAAUGGCGAAAGAAAGUAUAAAAGAGCUGUUGUCGGUCGAUUACAGAACGUUGUUAAGCUAUUUCCUUCUUUUUUCUUUUCUUUCUUUUUUGACUUUUUUUUCCAAACGACCGUCGUCGUCACAGUUCGCCACAACUUGGCCAAUAUAAGCGAAGAAAAGAAUUUCGGGAGUGGUUAAAAAGGGACUACUCUUUCUAUCGGACUUACUUUUAUCUACGGCUCGCAGCGUGCAUGAACGUGAUUACUCGAAACUUUUAGAGUUCUCUAGAAGCACGAUGUCAGCGGUCAUUUUUAUAGAAACUUUUCUCUCUUUAAAAAGAAAAAAAAGAAGAAGAGGAAAAUAAAGAAAAAAAUUCAGAUUAUUUUGAUUCCUGAACAAUUUUUUCGAAUUGUAUAAAUAAUCGUUGAAUAUUAGUUAAGAAAGUAAAGACAAAAAGUUAAGUAAUUAUCCAAGUUUUUGUACCAUUUAAUUGAGUUUUGUUAAUAAUUGUUUUUAUACAUUUAUUUAAGGUUUGUUAACUAAGAAAAUAAAGAUAAGAAUUUAGGUAAUUAUCUUAGUCUUUGUACGAUCUAAUAAAAUUUUAUAAAUAAUCGUUAUUUAAAAUUUUAUCAAUCAAAUUAAAAACAAAACAUCUAAAAUAUUUGUACAAACAAUCGUAAGAUUUCAGGUAAUAGCUUUUUAGAACAAAAGCUCCAAAAAGCUUAAGGAUUUUUUCGUAAGUACCUAUAACAUUCUGUCCGUUUUCAUGCGUAUAUAAAAUCGGUUUAGACAUGGCCGGCAGUUAAACUGGAAUAUAUAUGAGUCGCGCGUGCUUUCCUCCCGUAAGCUCGAAAGCUCUCGAAAGCUCUUGGCGAUGUAGUCACAUAGGUAUUCUCGACAGAUACACCAUACACUAGCGGAGCUUAGUAUAUCGGACUUUGAUGGUCGACGACAUACGGUGAAAAUGAGAAAAUUCCUUUCUUUCCCGAUGCAUUCUCUGGCCUUUUCUUUCUUUUUUUAUUUUUUUCUCAUUCUUGAGCGACGUGUUUUCUUGUACUUGUCGUCGAGUCACUGAUCUCGAAAGACUGCUCUUGCAACCGAAAUUAAGCAGGAACACACCCAUCGAAUAUUUUACUUUUGUCUUUCCUUCAUCAAUUCAACGAUUUAUUAUCUUCUUCGAGCAUACGUAUAUAUGUAUGUAUACUUAC